GUAGUUGGUCAUAAAGUGUGUGGUACGGGCUCUGUCCUACAGUCUUAAAGGGGCAGGGGUCAUUGGUGUAGGCAGAAGUAUCUGGCUGCAGUAGGGGGUCAGGCUCUGAUCAAGGCAGGGGUCUGACAGCUGUGCUCUGAGUGUCUGUGAGGAAAGUGCAUCCCUGUUCUGUAGAGCACAUGGGUGGGUUCUGUAGAAGGGCAGUGGGCACCCAAUGCUUUUGGUUGUAAGUUCUGGGCGGUACUACUUAUCCUUGGAGCCCUAUCACAGGUGGCUAGGUAUUGUGGGUGGAGCCAGCAGUCCUUAUGCCCCUGAUGUGGGUAGGUGAAGACCCUGUUUAAUAGGCAAAGCAGUGUCAAACAUCAAAUACCCAUCUUUCCACCGUUCAGGUGAAACAGUUGCAGUCUGGCAACAAGGGCCUAUUCUCCUGAAAUGGGCCCACACAGGUCCAUGCUGGGGUGAAAGGUAUUCAAAGCCCAUGGACUGUUUGUGCCUGAACAAGAGCUGCUUCUGUCCUGAGCUCCCCAGCUUAAUUGAGCUGGCAGAUUAUCUUUCCCCCAGUUGUGAACUUAUACCUUCUUCAAGGAUGGAAAAAUGGCUCAGAGUGGUACCAGGGCCUAUCUCAGGCCCAGGGAAGUUGACAGCCACUGAAGCCGGCUUGGGGGCUGGGGGCGUGGUAAAAUAAACACAAGUAAUUAGCUUUUGCUGAGAGUGCCGUUCUUCUCUUGUUCUGGAGGUGUGAGUAGUCUGUGCAACUUGCUGUCCUUCCCUGAGCUAAACGCCUGUGGAACGCCACUGCCAGCCCCACUGCAGUCGCUCCAGGGAACGGUGCCUGAGGGUUCCUGGCUAUUCAGGUCCAGUAACUCCUCUCCACUUCUGAAUAGUCUCUCCCUCCCCCUGCCGCUGAGUCCAUUUUCUAACUUUACCUUUGAUGUUCAGGGCUCCUAGCUUCUCAUAAAUAUAAUCGCUUCACUUGUUUUUUCUGGUCUUUUUUGUAAGAGGGAUCACUGGUGGCGUCUCAAUACUCAAAACUUCAUCAUUUCUUCCUUUCACUUUAGCUACUCGACAUUCAAGAGCAACGUUCAGAGUCUCUUCCGACAUCCGUUUUGGUCUUUUCUUUCUUUCCUGUCUUUUAAAGGAUCUCUUGCUUUCUUCAUGUGUGAUGUCCUUGAUGUCAUUCCACAACUCGUCUGGUCUUCAGUCGUUAGUGUUCAACACGUAAAAUGUGUUCUUGAGGUGGUCUCUAAAUACAGGUGAGAUAUACUCAAGGUCAUAUUUUGGCCCCUUUUGACUUAUUCUAAUUUUCUUCAGUUUCAACUUGAACUCCCAUAUGAGCAAUUGACAGUCUGUUUCACAAUUGAUCCCUGGCCUUGUUCUGACUGAUGAUAUGAGUUUUCCCAUCUUCUCUUUCCACAGAUGUAGUCAGUUUGAUUCCUGUGUAUUCCAUCUGGUAAAGUCCACGUGUAUAGCUGCCGUUUAUGUUGGUGAAAAAAAAUAUUUGCAGUGGAUGAGUCACUGGUCUUGCAGAAUUCUUUCAUGAGAUUUCUGGUGUCAUUUAUUUCAUCGAUGCUGUAUUUUCCAACUACUUUUCCUUCUUUGUUUCCAACUUUAACAUUCUAAUGACCAGUAAUUAUCAAUGCAUCUUGAUUGCAUGUUUGAUCAAUUUCAGGCUGCAGAAGUUGUUUAAAAUCUUCAAUUUCUUUAUCUUUGGCAUUAGUGGUUGGUGCAUAAAUUUGAAUAGUCGUAUAAACUAGUCUUCCUUGUAAGUGUAUGGAUUUUAGCCUAUUAGUGACAACAUUGUACUUCAGGCUAGAUCUUGAAAUGUUCUCUUUGAUGAUAUGUAACGUCAUUCUUUUGACUCUAGUGGAAUAUCCAUGUUUGUAAGACUGCUCACAGACUGUUUCACCAGAGAGUUUUCUGGUACUGCAACAUCUACCACUAAUCUCUGUGAUCCCUGUGAAUUGGCAAAAUAAGAAUAGUGCUAUAGAUUUCUUCCAAAUACAGAAAACAUAAGUAUGAAAAUGUUCUUGCUGUUGAUUAUAUUCUUUACCAAUCUGUUUGUGUGGGAUUUUUGGUACUUCACUUGAAAAAUGAGUCCAAGGUACUGUGAUGUGAUUGUUUACUUUGUGUGGCCUUUCUAGCCAUGGUCUUAUAACAUCCACCCUGGUGCUUGGGCAGGACUGUGUGAUAGGGUAAUUGUGGCUCACCAAGGGGAUUGUUUAUUUUCCCUUCAAAGAGAACCAGUUCCAGAGCAAAGAGGAGGAUUCAACUCCCAUCAAGGAAGAACAGCCAAGAGCCGAGCGUAUAUUAUGGACCUGAGAUCCCUGCACUGAGAAGCUCCUAGAAGCAAGAGACUGAGAUAGAGAGAGGAAGCUGUAACCCUGAAGAUGCUUAAAUACAGACCAGAAGAGGAGUUUGGGGCUUGACACCUGACAUCUUAACACCAGUUCCUGUUUCUUGAGGAAGGAAGAGGUAAAAUAAAUCAGCGUUUACUGUUUCCUUCUCCAUCCCCGGAAGUCCUGAUGAAGACCCUCUCAGAGAACCAGUUCCAGAGCAAAGAGGAGGAUUCAACUCCCAUCAAGGAAGAACAGCCAAGAGCCGAGCGUAUAUUAUGGACCUGAGAUCCCUGCACUGAGAAGCUCCUAGAAGCAGGAGACUGAGAUAGAGAGAGGAAGCUGUAACCCUGAAGAUGCUUAAAUACAGACCAGAAGAGGAGUUUGGGGCUUGACACCUGACAUCUUAACACCAGUUCCUGUUUCUUGAGGAAGGAAGAGGUAAAAUAAAUCAGCGUUUACUGUUUCCUUCUCCAUCCCCAGAAG